GACAGAGGUGCCGAGCGUUAGGCGGAAUCACUGGGCUUAAAGCGUGUGUAGGUGGAUGCCUAAGUACCUUGUGAAAUCCCACGGCUUAACCGUGGAACUGCUCGGUAUACUGGGUGUCUUGAGCCAGCUAGGGGCUACCGGAACAAAUGGUGGAGCGGUGAAAUGCGUAGAUAUCAUUUGGAACGCCAAUGGUGAAAACAGGUAGCUGGGGCUGUGCUGACACUGAGACACGAAAGCCAGGGGAGCAAACAGG
rnacentral:rRNA from 1 species